rnacentral:rRNA from 1 species
CCCAGGGUCAGGCGGAACUACCCGCUGAGUUUAGGCAUAUCAAUAAGCGGAGGAGAAGAAACUUACAAGGAUCCCCCUAGUAACUGCGUGCGAACCGGGAUUAGCCUAGCUUGAGAAUCGGGCGGCUUUGUUGUCUAAAUUGUAGUCUGUAGAAGCGUCCUUAGCGAUGGACUGAUCCCAAGUCCCCUGGAAGGGGGCAUUGGAGAGGGUGAGAGCCCCAUCGUGUCCGGACCCUGUCGCACCACGAGGCAUUGUCGGCGAGUCAGGUUGUUUGGGAAUGCAGCCGUAAUUGGGCGGUAAAUUCCAUCCAAAGCAAAAUACUGGCGAGAAACCGAUAAUCAACAAGUACGGUGAGGGAAAGAUGAAAAUGACUUUGAAAAGAGUCAAAGAGUGUUUGAAAAUUUUGGGAGGGAAGCAGAUGGGGGCUGGCGAUGCGCCUAGGUCAGAUGCGAAACAGUGUGAGCCGAUUCACCGCUCGACUCUAGACAUGGACCGAUGCAGAUUAUGAUGGUGGUCGAAGCCUGAGCCGUUUACGUGCUUGUGGAUACGUCAUCGUCAUGAUUGUGGUGGGAAGCAUGCGCCUUCGGUGUGCUUAUGGCAACUGCGCGCUCUCGGCAUCGGCUUGUGGGCUCCCUAUUCGGCCCGUCUUGAAACACGAACCAAGGAGUCUGACAUGUGUGCGAUUCAACAGGUAAGUAAACCAGUAAGGCGCAAGGAAGCUUAUUGGUGGGAUCCCCUUGUGGGUUGUACCGCCGACUGACCUACAUAUUUUGACAAGGGUUCGAGUGUGAGCAUACCUGUCAGGGCCAGAAAGAUGGUGAACUAUGCCUGAGCGGGGCGAAGCCUGAGAAAACUCUGGUGGAUGCUCGCAACGAUAUUGAUGUGCAAAUCGUUCGUCUAACUUGGGUAUAGGGGCGAAAGACUAAUCAAACCAUCUAGUAGCUGGCUGCCUCCGAAGUUUCCCUCAGGAUAGCUGGAGCUCGAGCGCGAGUUCUAUUGGGUAAAGCCAAUGAUUAGAGGCAUCAAAGGCUCUACGCCCUUGAUCUAUUCUCAAACUUUAAAUAGGUAGGAUGGUGUGGCUGCUUUGUUGAGCCGUACCAUGGAAUCGAGAGCUCCAAGUGGGCCAUUUAUGGUAAAUAGAACUGGCGAUGCGGGAUGAACCGAAAGCUCAAUUAUGGUGCCCAACUACGCGCUAACCUAGAACCACAAAGGGUGUUGGUCGAUUAAAACAGUAGGAUGGUGGUCAUGGAAGUCGAAAUUCACUAAGGAGUGUGUAACAACUCACCUGCCGAUCCUAAGAGUCUGGGUAACCUCGUCUGAGAGCGCAAACUGCUUGAACUUCAAAAAGGAAUUGGGUUAAAAUUCCUAACCCGGGAUGCGGCAUUUAGCGGCAACGUUAGGAAGUCUGGAUACGUCGGCGGGGCCUCAGGAAAAGUUGUCUUUUCUGUUUAACAGCUUGCCCCCCCUGGAAAUGGCUCAGGCGAAACUAGGGUCUAGUGGCUGGAAGAGCACCGCACGUCGAGUGUUGUUCAGUGAGCACCCCAAAGCCCUUGAAAAAUUGAAAGACCAAGUGUCAAUCGCGCCCGGUCGUACUCAUAACUGCAUUAGGUCUCCAAGGUGAACAUCCUCUGGUCAAUAGAAUAAUGUAGGCAAGGGAAGUCAACAAAAUGGAUCCGUAACCUUGGGAAAAGGAUUGGCUCUGAGGAUUGGGCUUGGGGGGUUCUUGUCCCGAACCUGUCUGAUGUUGGUGGACUGCUCGAGCAGCUUUUGCUGGCGUCAAACAGUCGCUUCAGAACUGUGUGCCGACUGGGGCAUGGAUUGGGAAUGGUCCCUUUGGGGUCCCUCCCCGUUUGUCAAACAGUCGACUCAAAACUGGUACGGACAACGGGAAUCCGACUAUUUAAUUAAAACAAAGCAUUGCGAUGGUCCUUACGGAUGCUAACGCAAUGUGAUUUUUGCCUUGUGCUCUGAAUGUCAAAGUGAAAAAAUUCAACACAGCGAGAUUAACUAUGACUCUCUUAAGGUAGCCAAAUGCCUCAUCAUCUAAUAAGUGACGCGCAUGAAUGGAUUAACGAGAUUCCCACUGUUUUUGUCAACUAUCCAGCGAAACCACAGCCAAGGGAACAAGCUUGGUAGAAUCAGCGGGGAAAGAAGACCCUGUUGAGCUUGACUCUAGUCCGACUUUGAAAUACCACUACUUUUAAAGUUAUUUUACUUACUCCGUGAGUCGGAAGGGGGGCAUUUCUCUUCUUUUUGGAUACAAGGGUCGUCUCGGUGGCCCGAUCCGGGCAGAAGACAUUGUCGGGUAAGGAGUUUGGCUGGGACGACACAUCUGUUAAAAGAUAACGCAGAUGUCCUAAGAUGAGCUCAACGAGAACAAAAAUCUCGUGUGGAACAUAAGGGUAAAACUCGUUUGAUUCUGAUUUACAGUACGAAUACGAACCGUGAAAGCGUGGCCUAUCGAUCUUUUAGGACCUUCGAAAUUAUAAGCUAGAGGUGUCAGAAAAGUUAUCACAGGAAUAACUGGCUUGUGGCAGCCAAAUGUUAAUAGCGACAUUGCUUUUUGAUCCUUCGAUGUCGGCUCUUCCUAUCAUUGUGGAGCAGAAUUCACCAAGUGUUGGAUUGUUCACCCACCAAUAGGGAAUGUGAGCUGGGUUUAGACCACUGUGAGACAGGUUAGGUUUACCCUACUUAUGAUAGUGUAGCGAUAGUAAUUAAAUCUAGUACGAGAGGAACCGUUGAUUCACACAAUUGGUCAUCGCGGUUGGUUGAAAAGCUAGUGGCACAAAGCUACUGUGUGCAGGAUUAUGACUGCCGACCUGCAGUAGGGGCCUUUAGGUUCCCAAAGGCACGUGUCAUUGGUAAAGCUCCACGAUGGAUGAGUCACAAGGGCAGCCUUGAAGUACAAUUUCCACCGAAUGGUGGGUAUAAUCUUUUUGCAGACGACUUAAAUACGCGACGGGGUAUUGUAAGUGGCAGAGUG